UGUGCAUCAAUAAAAAUAAAUAAAACACUUUCAAAAAAGAUACAUUUACAAUGUAUACGUAUCUAUAAAAAUACUUUCAGAGUACUUAACUCUAUAGCCCUUCUAUUCAUAAGUAAUUUCUACAUCCAUACCCAUUUCAUUCUGUGUGUUGCUACACUUAACCCUUUCCACAUUGAAUCUGCAUAUUGAAUGUUGACAAUCUUAGUUCCUCUUAUAGGAGACCAUUUUUACACAUCCUUCUAUACCCCCCAUGGGUAGAAAAGGGGGCUGUAUGUGAAGCUGUAUGAGGGAAUCUGGAAGCAGAAGAGGAGCUCCCCUUUGAGAAGGAACCAGACUGCAGGCUUGAACCCCAUUCUUGAAGGACUAGAAAGGGAUUUUACUCAACCUUCCUCACAUCUGAACUCUGGGAGGUGGAGAAAGAUGGAAAACUAAUCAAGUCCAGAGCAUGGAAAAUGAGUAGCCUGAGCAAACAGGCAGGGCUUCCACCAAGGGCAGGGAAAAGGGCAGAGGCUUGAAGACCACACUUGUAGAAGGACAGCGGGAGUUCCAGGUAUUUAGUAGAUAGAGACAGCCACAUGUCACUCUUACUUACUUGUAUCGCUACUAACAUCCUAGUCUCACAGGUCUUGACCUGAGCAAACAACCUAGAACAUGAUAAUUGAUACUCAAGUGAAUGUUUUUAGGAUUGGAGUUUCCCAGGUUUACAUUGUGCCAUGUUCAUGAUUUCAAGGUCCUAGUGAAAAGAAAGCAGCAGUAUGCAGUCAUGUAUCCCUGUGACCUGUAUCAGCCAAACUAGCCACACUUUUGAACAGUUAUGACAGAUGUAACUAUUGAAAGCAUGCAGUAUAUGGCCCAUGUCACUCUUGAGGACUGCAUAAAAGUGUUAAGUCACAUAAUGUCUCUCACUUUAGCCUCUUUCUAAGCAAUAAAAAUCUUGAAAUCACAGGUUUGAUGCAUUAGUUACACUUUUUCCAACACACAUUAAAACAACAAAGGUAUCCAUUAUAAUACAAAGUUGUCAGUCAUCGGUAACACCUUUACUAAUUGUACCACAUUUUGGGGAAGAACUGGUUUAACCAAAUAGUUUUUUUUUUUAAUAUUAUAGCUAAUCGUGUAUAGAUUGUGUAUAUUUUUUUCCACUUAAUUAUAAGCUUCCUAACAUCAGAGACCAUGUUUAAUUCAAUGCUUAGUACUGUAUUGAAGCUCAAUAAAUAUUUGUUCUUUCUUUGGUUUGUUUGGGUGAUGGGGUUGAGAUUAUUAGGAGUUAAUCUAUGUACUUAAGUUACACCUACAAGAUCAGUAUCACAAAUAGGAG
rnacentral:lncRNA from 1 species